UGGAUAUGAUGACUGAUUUCUCUGAGAGAUAAUGAUGAAAUUUCUAGAAAAUUCCUCUAGAUAGUCAAGUUCUGAUCCAG
ensembl:snoRNA predicted gene, 24148